rnacentral:rRNA from 1 species
GGGUUGUGAGGUUAAGCGACUAAGCGUACACGGUGGAUGCCCUGGCAGUCAGAGGCGAUGAAGGACGUGCUAAUCUGCGAAAAGCGUCGGUAAGGUGAUAUGAACCGUUACAGCCGGCGAUGUCCGAAUGGGGAAACCCAGUGCAAUUCGUUGCACUAUCGUUAACUGAAUACAUAGGUUAACGAGGCGAACCGGGGGAACUGAAACAUCUAAGUACCCCGAGGAAAAGAAAUCAACCGAGAUUCCCCCAGUAGCGGCGAGCGAACGGGGA